rnacentral:rRNA from 1 species
UACGUAGGGUGCAAGCGUUAAUCGGAAUUACUGGGCGUAAAGCGUGCGCAGGCGGUUUUGCAAGACAGAUGUGAAAUCCCCGGGCUUAACCUGGGAACUGCAUUUGUGACUGCAAGGCUAGAGUGUGUCAGAGGGAGGUGGAAUUCCGCGUGUAGCAGUGAAAUGCGUAGAGAUGCGGAGGAACACCGAUGGCGAAGGCAGCCUCCUGGGAUAACACUGACGCUCAUGCACGAAAGCGUGGGGAUCAAACAGG